AAAAAUGAUUAAUUGACCAUAUAACGUUAUUUCCUUUCCCUCCUAAAUGUGCUAAAAUGACAUAAAAAUAAUAAUGGCAUUAACCUUUAAGGGUAAAGAGAGAGAGCAAGGAUAUAAUAGUAAGAUGACAUAUUUCAGUGGAAAUAUCUUCUCAAAAAUGGAAAGUGGAUAGAGGGUUGGUAACUAAUUUAUCAGAAUAGGAAAAAUUUUUAACUUAAGUUUCUGCAGUGGAGGAUACAUCUAGAAUUGAGCUAAUUCAUUUGAGAGGCUCAAACCUUAGAAGGUAACAGGUACCACAGAAGAUGGGAGUAAAGAAUAGGUCUGAGAACAAGAAGGUGGUCACUGAAACUGUCCACAAAGCAUGUGGCACAACCAGGCAAACUACUAUGCCCCAACAAGAAAAGAAAAUAUCUCUCUGUCCAGCAAUCUUACUUCUGGCUGUAUAUCCAAAGGCAAUGAAAGCAAGAUCUUGAAGAGAUAUCCUCACUGUUCUGUUUGUUGCAGCAUUAUUCACAAUAGGCAAGAUAUGGACACCUAAGUGUCUAUCAAUGGAUGAACGGAUAAAGAAGAUGUGGUAUUAUAUACAAUGGAAUAUCAUUCAGUCAUGAGAAAGAAGGAAAUGCUGCCAUUUGCAACAACAUGGAUGAACCUUGAGGGCAAUAUGCUAAGCAAGAGAAGUCAGAUGGAAAAAGACAAAUACUGUAUAAUCUCACUUAUAUGUGGAAUCUAAAAAAGUGGAACUCAGAAACAGCAUAGAAUGGUGGUUGGGGCUGGGGUCGGGAGGAGUGAGAUGUUGGCCAAAAGGUACAAACUUCCAGUUAGAAGAUGAAGUUCUGGAGAUCUAAUGUACAGCAUGGUGAUUAUAGGUAAUUAUACUGUAUAAUAUACUUGAAAGGUACUAAGAGAGUAGAUCUUAAAUGUUCUUACCACAAAAAAGAAAUGGUAAUUAUGUGACAUGAUGGAGGUGUCAGAGCUAAUGCUAUGGUGGUUAUCAUUUUGUAAGUGUAUCAAAUCAACAUAUCACACACCUUAAACUUAUGCAAUGUUAUAUGUCAAUUAUAUAUCUAUAAAACUGGGGGAAGAAAGAAAGACUUCUUUGGAGGGACUGUAUCUAGGAGGUACUGCACUCCUAGACAGGAUUUACGGUGUGGGCUGGCAUAUAAAGCAGGACCAAACUCCUGUCUUGGUCCCAGUAUGCUAGCAGACAAGCAUAUAACCAGUCCCCAGAGAAGAAAUUAUAGUUUUUCUCUGGAGAAAAUGUAGAGAUUCAGAGGAAAGCUCCUGGUGAAGUCCACAAUGGAUAACUACUCCUCCCUAGGCUUCUAGUCAGUUUUUUAGUUCCUCACUCUUAAAUUAUAAGGGAGAGCCAAAGACCAACAGGUAUUUGACAACAGCUAUCAAUGAAAGAAAAACACAGACUAAAAUAAACUCAUAGGAAAAAAGGGUCCAGAGGGAAAAAAGCUAAUGCAGGAAACAACAGAAUUUCAAAUAAAGUAUAAUACCCCUGAAGAAAAAAGAGAAGAUCUGGAAAAGGAAAACCAGAAGACUAAAAAUGGCCCUUGGAAAUUAAAAAUACAGUAAGCAAAAUAAAAUGGUGUGAUACAAAGGUGUGGGGUCCACCGUAUGUCCACAGCUUCUUUCUUAUUACUCCUCCCCUUGAGUGUGGGUUGGAUUUAGUGAUUCUCUCCUAAUAAACAGAAUAAGGUGGAAGUGACAGUCACUUCUGAGAGUAGGUCAUAAAAAGGCAUUGUGGUUUCCUUCCUCCUUUCUCUCUCUCUCUCUGAUCACUUUGCUCUGAGGAAAGUUAGCUGCCAUGUGAGAACACUCAAGCAGCUGAAGGGGAGGCCUAUCUGGUGAGAAACUGAGGUGUCUUGUCAAUGGCCAGAGAGGAACCUAGGCCUCCAGCCAUCAGAUGACUGCAGCCCCUGCUGACAUCCUCUCUGCAACCACGAGAGAAACCCCAGCCAGAACCCCCAGCCAAACUGCUCCUGGAUUCCUGAUUCACAGAAACUAUAAGUUCUAUAAGUCAGAAGUCUGACAGUCUCUGCUUAUCUCACAAGGCUGAAAUCAAGGUGUCUGGGCUGGGGUCUUAUCUGGAGACUCUAGAGAAGAAUCCAAUCUCAGGUUCAUUCAGUUAUGUCCAUCUUCUUGUUCCGAAUGGAAUUUUGAUAUCCCAGUAGAUAUAAGUUGAAGAAGGCCAUCUGACGUCCUCCCUGUCCUCUUCUGGAAUGAACAGGCUGGAGCACUGGACUCUGUUUGGUAACCAUGGUAAUGUCCUGAAGAACUACUAUGACUGACACUCCCUUUGUCUGAGGAGGCACAGGAUUUAUGGGUCACAGAGGAGCUGGAGUGGGAGUGGGGCUAAAUAACUUCAGAAAAAAAUGGAGGAGCCACAUGCCAGUUACUCUUUUUCUUGCCUCAGUCCUAUUUAUACUCUAAGCUUCAGAAGGCAAUGUGUGCAGAGAACACUGAUCUGGGCCCAAAUCUUAGUUUUGUCAUAUUCUAGGUGUCUGACUUUGAAUUGAUCAUGCUUCAGUUUUUUAAUUAGAAACAAAAGAGGUUAUGAUAUCUAUUGCAUAGAACUAUGAGAAUUAAAUAUUGUAUGCAAUUUUCCUCAGUAUAGUGUCCUGCAUAUAAUGGAACCUUAACAAACAGUAUUUGAAUCUGAAUAUGGUACUUCCAAAGAAUCCUUAAGUUAUUUCAAGCAAUGUGUGCUGAGCAAGUUCAUACUGACUUUUGAGAACUACUUGCUAAAUUUUCAGGAAUUCUGCAAGCUGGUUGUUAAGCCAUUAUUAUUA